UGAUGGCGACCGGCGCACGGGUGAGUAACACGUAUCCAACCUGCCGAUAACUCGGGGAUAGCCUUUCGAAAGAAAGAUUAAUACCCGAUGGUAUAAUAAAACCGCAUGGUUUAAUUAUUAAAGAAUUUCGGUUAUCGAUGGGGAUGCGUUCCAUUAGGCAGUUGGUGAGGUAACGGCUCACCAAACCUUCGAUGGAUAGGGGUUCUGAGAGGAAGGUCCCCCACAUUGGAACUGAGACACGGUCCAA
rnacentral:rRNA from 1 species